AUAGUACUUCCUCCGUCCGGAAUUACUUGUCACUCAAACGGAUGUAUCGAUACAUCCGUUUGAGUGACAAGUAAUUCCGGACGGAGGGAGUAUGAU
rfam:Triticum aestivum genome assembly, contig: Triticum_aestivum_CS42_TGACv1_scaffold_064213_1DL